CCGGCCUGUCGCAGCGAGGGUCCCGAUUCCAGUCACCCGCUGAGCCGCUGGCGUCCCUCCGGUGACCCAGCCGGAGCUGCCGCAAGGCAGGGGGUGGGUCCCGGGCUUCUCCUGGGAGAGGAGAGCCGGGUUUUAGCUCACGGCUGUGCGGCUCCGCCGGCGUAAGCCCGCGCCCGCAGAUUCGGGCGCGCUUAGCGGAGGGACGCCGUGGUUUGGAAAGACCAGACUCCUACAAAGCAGGGGCGGACUCGCGGUUGCUUUGUUGGUCACGCAGUGAUGCCAAUUUGCGGUCCUGUUUCUUACGUCCGCAGUGACACCCUUUCUUCAAUAUACUUUCCUGCCCUUGCUCAUGGUGCACCUCACCUGCAGUUCCGAAUAACCUGCACGGGGUUCAUGUAAUUCAGCACGUGGGCCAGUCGCCAGACCAGGCGUCUUGUACUGGAGCAUUGCUCUAGUGGAGAUUUGAGGAGACUGCAUAGUGGCUAGGGCAUGGCAGAGAGUGCUAUUCCAGAGAGCAUGUUUUCGUCUGCACAUCUAUUCAGGGCUGGAUCAUGCUUCCUUUGAUGUCCAUGGUAAAAUCACUACCAGACUUCACUAGGAAUGGAAGAAGGCCUUGUUCUCCCCUUUAUAUAUUGACCUGGGAUUGCUGUCUCUCUCUCUGUGCCUGCACCAGACUUACUGAUCUCCAGGGUUAGGAAUAGCAAUGUUACCUGAAUAACUCAUGUGUGUUGGGGGGAGUCAGAUGAGAUCUUAAACUACAAUUCUGUAUAUUCUACACACAUAAAGAUAAUUGUAUGAUUUCACUCUGAAAGAUUUAGGGAUACCGUUUUUAUGAAAAGAUGCUAUAUAAAAUAAAGUUGUGUUGUAGUUACUGAUUUUAUUCCUGACUUUUUGAGAAUGUUUUUUUGUAAUUGUUUGGAUACUCCUGGACCUGUCGUCAGUUUUCAGAUAUUCACAUAGUAAUAAUACUAAUAAUUAAUAAUAAAUACUUCAUAAUAAAAAGCAUGAGCAAAUACCCUGUUAUACCAAAAGUAUCUGUGACUGGAUCUUGUUAAGAUAUUUGCAUAGGUUCGUCUUCUCAUAUAGAUGAAAGCACCAGAUUCAAAGGUAAAUCAAAGGAAAAUGACAAUCCACAGGACAUGACAUCCCUGACAGCACAUCAGCAGUCUAAAUGUUUGAUGGAUCCAGUAAGCCACUUCAAAGGCACCAACGUGAAUGCCUAAGGAUUCUGCCCUGUAACCAGCUGCUCCUUUAUGGAAAAAAUUGUGAAAAUGCCAUCCAAA